AACGAACGCUGGCGGCGUGCCUAAUACAUGCAAGUCGAGCGGAAGUUGGAGAGCUUGCUCUUCAACUUUAGCGGCGGACGGGUGAGUAACACGUGGGCAACCUGCCCUGCAGAUCGGGAUAACUCCGGGAAACCGGUGCUAAUACCGAAUAGUUUUCGCCACCUCCUGGUGGCGUACGGAAAGACGGUUUCGGCUGUCACUGCAGGAUGGGCCCGCGGCGCAUUAGCUAGUUGGUGGGGUAACGGCCCACCAAGGCGACGAUGCGUAGCCGACCUGAGAGGGUGAUCGGCCAAACUGGGACUGAGAAACGGCCCAGACUCCUACGGGAGGCAGCAGUAGGGAAUCUUCCGCAAUGGACGAAAGUCUGACGGAGCAACGCCGCGUGAGUGACGAAGGUUUUCGGAUCGUAAAACUCUGUUGUGAGGGAAGAACAAGUACCACUUAACUACUGGUACCUUGACGGUACCUCACCAGAAAGCCACGGCUAACUACGUGCCAGCCGCCGCAGUAACAC
rnacentral:rRNA from 1 species